rnacentral:rRNA from 1 species
CGGGAAUAUUGGACAAUGGGCGGAAGCCUGAUCCAGCAAUACCGCGUGUGUGAAGAAGGCCUGCGGGUUGUAAAGCACUUUCAGUUGGGAAGAUAAUGACGUUACCAACAGAAGAAGCACCGGCUAACUCCGUGCCAGCAGCCGCGGUAAUACGGAGGGUGCAAGCGUUAAUCGGAAUUACUGGGCGUAAAGCGUGCGUAGGCGGUUUAUUAAGUCAGAUGUGAAAUCCCCGGGCUCAACCUGGGAACUGCAUCUGAUACUGGUAGACUAGAGUGUGGGAGAGGAGAGUGGAAUUUCCGGUGUAGCGGUGAAAUGCAUAGAGAUCGGAAGGAACAUCAGUGGCGAAGGCGACUCUCUGGACCAACACUGACGCUGAGGCACGAGAGCGUGGGUAGCAAAC